CUGGAGCUUCAUGUGGUUUGCAGAGUUACCGCCCCUGUCCGCCCGGGCAUCCGUGGCUCUCCUCCUCUGCAUUUCAUCCUCACAAAUCUGUGAGUAACUCCUGUCCCCAAAGGGCAUCCAUGGCUCUCCUCCUCUGCAUUUCAUCCUCAGAGAUCUGUAAGGUAGGUGAGGCUCAGAGAGUUACUAAGCCGUGUUUUCCCUUGAGUGCAUAUUAGAACUUGAAUCUUCCAUUCUGAAAUAUCCAUUUUGUGCUUUAAUUACUUCAUCAAAGAGGCUUCCAUCAAAAGGUUAACUGCCCUUUCUUUCAGUUUUCUCACCUCCAGAUUUCUACAAUUACCACUGUUCUAAUGGUUACGCAUCUGUAUGUCUAGAAGCAAAUCAACAGCUCACCUGUACCUAAACUUGCAAUGCAUAUCUACAUUGGAAUUAAGUUCCCUUGUGUUCAGGAGACCCCCCCAGUAUGUGUGUGGCUCGGCAUCCAGCAUGUUUUUGUAUGUUCUAAGAGUUUCUUACAAUUAAAAAAAAUGAACUGGUUAAUAGACAGAAGCCGUGUUUCUAUACUACUAGCCUAUUAUUCCUACCACUGUCUCAAUAUUUGCAUAGGCCAGCUUCCCCCACACUAGCACACUUUUACAUGAGUAAGAUCUCACCUCCCGUCACUCCCAGGUAACUUGCCAAUGCUGGUCAAAGAUUAUGAAAAUGUCAGGCCAACGUAUAUGGAAGAAACCUGGUUGGGGAAACAGUCUAGUCUAACAGAAUAAUAGAUAGCUUAAUAGUGUAGCAAUCAAAAAGACACGAACUGGAUGCUAUGACUAAAGUUGACUGUAAGGUAGGAAUCACCUUGGAAGGGUCUUUCCUGGAGAGAUCACAGGCUAGGAAGUAGCAUAUAGCCAUGGGAUCUGGUUUGUUGUUGCUUUCUUCUCCUUAGAAAAAUCAACUCUGCCAUCUUAUGAACUGAGCAGCAGCCCUAUAAUAAUAGGCCCAGAAGAUAAAGCCUCCCUCCAAACCCAAGGCCUGCUCAGUAGUUACCCCGUCACCAUCCCAGUACAAAUACCAGAAACGUGAGUAAAACCAGGCCUUUUAAGGUCACAGAAAACUGAUAGGUUUUCAAAGAUGGCUUAACUGUCCUCUCAGCCAAACUGCAGCAGACACAGGUCUGCAUUUCACUGGAGGCCCGAACUGGCAAAGAGUAACGUUCACUUCAGACGAAAGCAAACAAAGGAGAGGAUAUGAGUCAGACUUUCUUCUGCCACUAAACAAACCAUUAUUUUGAAGUGCCUUUCUUGUAUUUGGCCCAUAUGUAAUUGCAAAGGCGAAAGAAGCACUGCUCUGAAGCAGCACUGACAGACUUCUUGGAUCAAAAAACAAUCCCUGGAAUAUAACAUGCUCAAGACAUAAAGGGCAGUGUUCUUUACAGGUAGGCAGGUAGACCAUCCCUCUGCACUGUUUCUACAUUUUGGCAACUGUGGAAAAACCACAAACCGCUACCUUAUACCUGUGGUCUUAGAGCAGUGGUUCCCAACCUUGGGUCCCUGGAU